rnacentral:lncRNA from 1 species
ACUAAAGUUUCACGGGUCCCACCCAGUUAAUUUUUUCGUCCCAUCUUUUUUUGUUUGAAUGUUUGUCAAUUGUCGCGAAGACACGAAUCCUGGAAGUAAAGUAAUAAUUGUUAAUGGACUAAAUCACAAAUUUCCAAUCCCAAUUCUCAAUCUAGUACAUAAUUAGAAACAGUUGCUGAGUGCUGACGUUUUGACGACGACGCGAGAAUUUGGUGAGGGUAAAAAUAUGGCGACAAGAAUAUUGAGAUCUCCACCAUCUUCCCUUCGAUUGCUCCGAUUCUCUUCUCCGUCAACUGCAAUAUUCAAUUACAACGAGGGAUGUGUUGCUUCAAGAUUUCUUGGAACUCUCGCAUUCGACGAAAUCCGAGUGUCUGACGACGUGAAAAGACCGUAUACCUCCACGGCGCUUGUUCUCCACGGGCUUCUUGGGUCUGGUAGGAACUGGAAGAGUUUUGCACGUAAUCUA